UUGCUGAAACCUCAAUGAUAGUGCCAUUCUAGCAGCACCAGGUUGAAAAGAAAUGCUCAAAGCUGUCCAUAUGCAGAUAUCUGUGAAAAAAAAUGUGAACUAUUUUGUAGCAUUGAAGAAUUUCAUUCCAUUUCAUCACCUGCUGCUUCCUGUCUAAGACUUACCAGAGAUGGAUGGCAGUGUCCAGAAACCAUUUUCUUACUCUGCUUAUCUUGUUUGCUUAAACUCUGGCCUGGAGGGGCCUACCUUUCCCUUGAACCAGAUUGCAGCAUUUAAGCAGAUAUUUGGAGGUAGAAAAGAACAUGUGUUCUUGGGAGAAAGCUUGUUGGAAGAAGUGCUUAGAUUUCAAAACCACAUGGCUGUUUUUACAUUCGAGUUUUGCCACUCAUUAGCUGCGAGACCAAGGACAGGUUAACCAACCUGCGGGUUAACAAACCAAGGCGUAAACCUUGGUUUCUGUACAUGCAAAAAGGAAAUAACAAUGCUUGCCUUACAGGGUUGUGGUGGGGAUUAAAACAAUAAAACUAAAGCGUUCAGCGUAGUACCUACUGUGAAGUAGGUGCUCAGUAAA